rnacentral:rRNA from 1 species
UCGAGAAUCUUUCACAAUGGGGGAAACCCUGAUGGAGCGACGCCGCGUGGAGGAUAAGGUCUUCGGAUUGUAAACUCCUGUCAUGCGAGAGCAAGAUUGGUCAUUUAAUAGGUGAUUAAUUUGAUAGUAUCGCAAGAGGAAGAGACGGCUAACUCUGUGCCAGCAGCCGCGGUAAUACAGAGGUCUCAAGCGUUGUUCGGAAUCACUGGGCGUAAAGGGUGCGUAGGUGGCGUGGUAAGUCAGAUGUGAAAGCCCAGGGCUCAACCCUGGAAUUGCAUCCGAUACUGCCGUGCUAGAGAACUGAAGGGGAGUCUGGAAUUCUCGGUGUAGCAGUGAAAUGCGUAGAUAUCGAGAGGAACACCAAUGGCGAAGGCAAGACUCUGGGCAGUUUCUGACACUGAGGCACGAAGGCCAGGGUAGCGAACG